GUGGGGAAUAUUCCGCAAUGGACGAAAGUCUGACGGAGCAACGCCGCGUGAGUGAUGAAGGUUUUCGGACUGUAAAGCUCUGUUGUUUAGGACGAAAGUGCCUGUUGCAAAUAGUUACAGGUAUUGACGGUACUGAACGAGGAAGCCACGGCUAACUACGUGCCAGCAGCCGCGGUAAUACGUAGGUGGCAAGCGUUGUCCGGAAUUAUUGGGCGUAAAGAGCAGGUAGGCGGGAAUCUAAGUCUGUUGUGAAAAUGCGGGGCUCAACCCCGUAUUGCGAUGGAAACUGGGUUUCUUGAGUGCAGGAGAGGAAAGGGGAAUUCCCAGUGUAGCGGUGAAAUGCGUAGAUAUUGGGAGGAACACCAGUGGCGAAGGCGCCUUUCUGGACUGUGUCUGACGCUGAGAUGCGAAAGCCAGGGUAGCGAACGGGAUUAGAUACCCUUGUAGUCC
rnacentral:rRNA from 1 species